AGUGAACGCUGGCGGUAGGCCUAACACAUGCAAGUCGAACGGCAGCACAGUAAGAGCUUGCUCUUACGGGUGGCGAGUGGCGGACGGGUGAGGAAUACAUCGGAAUCUACUUUUUCGUGGGGGAUAACGUAGGGAAACUUACGCUAAUACCGCAUACGACCUACGGCUGAAAGCAGGGGAUCUUCGGACCUUGCGCGAUUCAAUGAGCCGAUGUCGGAUUAGCUAGUUGGCGGGGUAAAGGCCCACCAAGGCGACGAUCCGUAGCUGAUCUGAGAGGAUGAUCAGCCACACUGGAACUGAGACACGGUCCAGACUCCUACGGGAGGCAGCAGUAGGGAAUAUUGGACAAUGGGCGCAAGCCUGAUCCAGCCAUACCGCGUGGGUGAAGAAGGCCUUCGGGUCGUAAAGCUCUUUUGUUAGGGAAGAAAAGCAGCAGGUGAAUACCCCGCUGUUCUGACGGUACCCAAAGAAUAAGCACCGGCUAACUUCGUG
rnacentral:rRNA from 1 species